rnacentral:rRNA from 1 species
AUUGAACGCUGGCGGCAGGCCUAACACAUGCAAGUCGAGCGGAUGAAGGGAGCUUGCUCCUGGAUUCAGCGGCGGACGGGUGAGUAAUGCCUAGGAAUCUGCCUGGUAGUGGGGGAUAACGUCCGGAAACGGGCGCUAAUACCGCAUACGUCCUGAGUGAGAAAGUGGGGGAUCUUCGGACCUCACGCUAUCAGAUGAGCCUAGGUCGGAUUAGCUAGUUGGUGGGGUAAGGGCCUACCAAGGCGACGAUCCGUAACUGGUCUGAGAGGAUGAUCAGUCACACUGGAACUGAGACACGGUCCAGACUCCUACGGGAGGCAGCAGUAGGGAAUAUUGGACAAUGGGCGAAAGCCUGAUGCAGCCAUGCCGCGUGUGUGAAGAAGGUCUUCGGAUUGUAAAGCACUUUAAGUUGGGAGGAAGGGCAGUAAGUUAAUACCUUGCUGUUUUGACGUUACCAACAGAAUAAGCACCGGCUAACUUCGUG